rnacentral:rRNA from 1 species
GAUGAACGCUGGCGGCGUGCCUAAUACAUGCAAGUCGAGCGAACAGAUAAGGAGCUUGCUCCUUUGACGUUAGCGGCGGACGGGUGAGUAACACGUGGGUAACCUAUCUAUAAGACCGGAAUAACUCCGGGAAACCGGGGCUAAUGCCGGAUAACAUGUUGAACCGCAUGGUUCUACAGUGAAAGGCGGCUUUGCUGUCACUUAUAGAUGGACCCGCGCCGUAUUAGCUAGUUGGUGAGGUAACGGCUCACCAAGGCAACGAUACGUAGCCGACCUGAGAGGGUGAUCGGCCACACUGGAACUGAGACACGGUCCAGACUCCUACGGGAGGCAGCAGUAGGGAAUCUUCCGCAAUGGGCGAAAGCCUGACGGAGCAACGCCGCGUGAGUGAUGAAGGUCUUCGGAUCGUAAAACUCUGUUAUUAGGGAAGAACAAAUGCGUAAGUAACUGUGCGCGUCUUGACGGUACCUAAUCAGAAAGCCACGGCUAACUACGUG